UAUUUAGUCAUUAAAAUAACUUCUUCAUCUCUUUCACGCAAAGGCUCUGUUUGAAGUUGCUGGUGUGACAAUGUCUGAUAAAGGAUGCAUUAUUCAUCUAAUUGUAAAUGGAGCAUACAGUAACAGAUGUCUGCAGCAGGUGCUUCCACUUGAAGCUGAGGAAUGAGUGAGGAAUUCCACAUGACAGGGUGUAGGGCUGGAGUAAGAUAUGAUGUCUGAAGAGCAUGGGAAGAGAGCAAGUCAAAGCUGUCUAGCACCCCAAAAGUGUAUGACUUCUGCGAGGAUUUCCCUGGAAGUAGAUUAUUACUCAUUUAAAAGGUAUUAUAUAUACAGUCAAAAUGUAUCUACCGAGUACAUAAAACAGAAGGCCAUUUUUAUCCUUGGUAAAGUUCUUGGAGCUAUUUUGCCUAGAAUAUUUUAUAAUCAGAUCAUAAUUAUCAGUAAAUGAAUUGAUAUUUUUAAAAAUUGAAAACAAAUUAUAAAAUGAAGAUUUAUUCUAAUUUAAUUUUAAAGGAAUCUAAAUGCACAGGAACAAAUUCAAUCUGCGCCUAGCUCUACUGAGGUAAAUUGAAUUACACCAGAGAUGAAUUUAGCUUCUUGCAUUUAUGUUCCUAUAGAAGACUAAUUCCCAUCGUCGCUGUCUAGAAAACUGUUCUUCUUAAACAAGUUGGGCUGCCUUGUCUCAGCACAGAGUAGAAUGAAUUGGAUUUUUAUCCAAAUGCCUUCAUUUUGGUAAAUUGAUGUGCUGACAGUAAACCUUUGAAGACUGAAGGAGGGAAGCCAGUUUAUUCUAAAACAUCAGAAGAUCUCCUUCUCCCCACUGACCAAAGAUGACUCCGGAGGCUCUGUCUGACAAAGCUGUGUGUUGAUUAACAAAAA